GCCUGAGGUACUGGAAGGUCCUCAGGCCGAAAGGGGCUCUGCCCGCCCGAGGAUGGGCCGGCGGCCGAUUAGGUAGUUGGUGGGGUAACGGCCCACCAAGCCGAAGAUCGGUACGGGCCAUGAGAGUGGGAGCCCGGAGAUGGACACUGAGACACGGGUCCAGGCCCUACGGGGCGCAGCAGGCGCGAAACCUCCGCAAUGCGGGCAACCGCGACGGGGGGACCCCCAGUGCCGUGGCAACGCCACGGCUUUUCCGGAGUGUAAAAAGCUCCGGGAAUAAGGGCUGGGCAAGGCCGGUGGCAGCCGCCGCGGUAAUACCGGCGGCCCGAGUGGUGGCCGCUAUUAUUGGGCCUAAAGCGUCCGUAGCCGGGCCCGUAAGUCCCUGGCGAAAUCCCACGGCUCAACCGUGGGGCUUGCUGGGGAUACUGCGGGCCUUGGGACCGGGAGAGGCCGGGGGUACUCCUGGGGUAGGGGUGAAAUCCUAUAAUCCCAGGAGGACCGCCAGUGGCGAAGGCGCCCGGCUGGAACGGGUCCGACGGUGAGGGACGAAGGCCAGGGGAGCAAACCGGAUUAGAUACCCGGGUAGUCCUGGCUGUAAAGGAUGCGGGCUAGGUGUUGCUUGGACCUCGAGUCCAAGCAGUGCCGCAGGG
rnacentral:rRNA from 1 species